AGGUUACUGCUAUCGAGGUUCGACUAAGCCAUGCGAGUCGAAUGUAGCAAUACAUGGCGUACUGCUCAGUAACACGUGGACAACCUACCCUCCGGACGGGUAUAAACCCGGGAAACUGGGUAUAAUCCCCGAUAGAUCUCGGUCGCUGGAAAGCCCCGAGAUCGAAAGCUCCGGCGCCAGAGGAUGGGUCUGCGGCCUAUCAGGUAGUAGUGGGUGUAGCGUACCCACUAGCCUACGACGGGUACGGGUUGUGAGAGCAAGAGCCCGGAGAUGGAUUCCGAGACACGAAUCCAGGCCCUACGGGGUGCAGCAGGCGCGAAAACUUUACAAUGCCGGCAACGGCGAUAAGGGGACCUCGAGUGCCAGGUUACAAAUCUGGCUGUCGUGAUGCCUAAAAAGCAUUGCAUAGCAAGGGCCGGGCAAGACCGGUGCCAGCCGCCGCGGUAACACCGGCGGCUCGAGUGGUAACCGUUAUUAUUGGGUCUAAAGGGUCUGUAGCCGGCCAGAUAAGUCUCUUGAGAAAUCCAGCAGCUCAACUGUUGGGCUUUCAGGAGAUACUGUCUGGCUCGAGGCCGGGAGAGGUGAGAGGUACUUCAGGGGUAGGGGUGAAAUCUUGUAAUCCUUGAAGGACCACCAGUGGCGAAGGCGUCUCACCAGAACGGACCUGACGGCAAGGGACGAAAGCUAGGGGCACGAACCGGAUUAGAUACCCGGGUAGUCCCAGCUGUAAACGAUGCUCGCUAGGUGUCAGGUGCGGUGCGACCGCAUCUGGUGCCGCAGUGAAAACUUGAAGCGAGUCACCUGGGAAGUACGGUCGCAAGGCUGAAACUUAAAGGAAUUGGCGGGGGAGCACUACAACGGGUGGAGCCUGCGGUUC
rnacentral:rRNA from 1 species